AGCAAAUAGAUACCCAGGUAGUCCACGCCCUAAACGAUGUCUACUAGUUGUUGGGAGAGUAAAAUCUCUUAGUAAACGCAGCUAAACGCGUGAAGUAGACCGCCUGGGGAGUACGGUCGCAAGAUUAAAAACUCAAAGGAAUUGACGGGGGCCCGCACAAGCGGUGGAUUAUGUGGAUUAAAUUCGAUGCAACGCGAAAAACCUUACCUGGCCUUGACAUGCUACUAACGAAGCAGAGAUGCAUUAGGUGCCCGAAAGGGAAGUAGACACAGGUGCUGCAUGGCUGUCGUCAGCUCGUGUCGUGAGAUGUUGGGUUAAGUCCCGCAACGAGCGCAACCCUUGCCAAUAAUUGCCAUCAUUUAGUUGGGCACUUUAUUGGGACUGCCGGUGACAAACCGGAGGAA
rnacentral:rRNA from 1 species